GUUGAGUGCUGUCACCGAGUUUCAGCCAUGGAUUCUGGCUCAAGUGUGAAUGCUAGUUCAUUUGCUGAUAAUUUGGGGCAUGAAACCUCACAAAGGCCUUUCUUCUUUUUAAAGGAGGAAAGAGGGGUCCUGCUCUAUUGCUUCUACCCCUUCCGGCCUCCCCUUUCUCCAUAAUGUCUGUCCUGUGGUGGAGAGAACUUGCAGCAAAUGGAGUAGCGGGACCUGUCUUCUCUACCGCUGCUCCUCUGAGGUGGGGAGUCACUCUAGAGCUGAGCUCACGGGACAGAACCAAUGCCAGAUGUCUGCUCCCCUUUGAGCUACUGAGGCAAAGUAGGCCUUCUUUCUUUGGUUUAGAAAAUGUAGCCAAGUGUGGUGGUAGGUAGACUCUUGGAAUCUCAAAACUGCUGGAGGCCAAGGCAGGAAGAUCACAAGUUCCAGCCUAGGGCAGGACCUUAUCUCAAAAUGAAUAUGAAAUAAAAAAAAAAAAAAAAAAAAAAAAAAAAAAAAAAAAAAGACUGGGGAUAUAGCUCAUUGCAGAGUUCCUGGGUUCAAUCCCAAGAAGAGAAGAGAAAGGAAAAUAUUAUCAUAGAAUCAGUUUCUCUGACUUCUGCCAUCCCACAAGAAAUUUUCACACCCUUGUUUUCUUUUUUGCAGUACUGAGCUUUGAAUCCAGGAAACAACACCAGGACUCCUCAGGUCAGCACUCUGAGAGAACACUUGAGCCUGGCCGUUCACCUGGAGCUGUGUGUCCAGCGAUUAGCUCUGUACAUAGGUAAGCUUUUCUGUCAAGUGGCUUUAUUUAAAGAGCAUGAGUGCCUUUUUUUCACACCCCAUUUAAUUUCCACUGGUCUUCCCAGCCUGCACAGAUGGCCUGCUUUUCCUCUUCCUGUGCUUAAUUCUCACUGAAGCCAGAGUGGUAAAUGCCCAUGAGGAUUCCAUGGAGGUCUGUUCAGAGCCAGCAGUGCAGCAGAGACCAGGCACCCAGGUUUUCACCUUCUCCUCAUUGUUCAGCAACAGCAAGCGGACUUGCUCGUCUGAGUAGAAGAGGAAAGUCUGCCGAGAGGGACAGAAAGCGGGUGACGGUGGAGAAGAAACCCUUGGAAGAGGUUUCCCCGUCUGUACUUUUCAGCAAUGAUUAUUCAGGGACACAGCCAGCUGCAGCCCGCAGCUGCGCUCCCAGCUGUGCCGAGCAUAGUGGGCGGAUGCGAUGCGUUUGUCAAGUGCUGCGGCAGCGUCCUGCGCCCGCAAACACAGCGAGGAGGGCAUGUUUGCUAUUGCUGCUGGUACACUGGGCCUUUAAGGAACUGGCUUUCUGGGCAAGUUUCAGAAAGUCUAAUACUUUUCCAGCAUUAGGAAGAUCAAGUCAACUGAGGUACACAAAACGGAGACUGCCACCACACGGUUCAGAUGAGUUUUGUGAGACUGUUAUUAUUAUUUCUUUUCUUAAGCCCCACAACUUUAAAGCUCAAUCGCUCUUACUUUCAUAAAUGUCGUAGGCGAUAUUUUUUAUUGUUUACUAUAUUCUAAAAUCGAGACAGUAGCUGAGUGUGGUGGCACAUGCCUAUAAUCUCAGCACUUGGGAGGCUGAGGCAGAAGGAUCACUGUGAGGCACAUAGCUCAAGACCAGCCUGAACCACAUAGCAAGACCCUGUCUCAAAAAAACAAAAAUACAUAAAUAAAUAAAAUUAAGACAAUAACAUUACAAUACCCAUACAGAAUGUUUAAAGUAAGAAACAUUGAGAACCCCAAUUAUUUUCACAUUAAGGACUUAAAGUAUUUAAGUUUAUACUAAAAGAAUAAUUAAGGAGCCAGGGAUUUAGCUCAGUGGCACAGUACCUGCCUGGCAAGUGUGUGGUCCUGCAUUCGAUCCCCAUNNNNNNNNNNNNNNNNNNNAAAAAAAAAAAAAAAAAAAAAAAAAGAAUAAACACUAUUACAAAAAUCUGAGGGAAGAAUCAUCUAACAAUCCACGGUCCUAACACAAUUGUCAGCAAUUUUGUAUAUUCCUUCCAAGGUUUUUCUUUCCUAGAAGAAACCUCUUUAAAGUUUAAAUUGUAGUGGAUAUGAUUUUGUAAUUAUACCCUUUUCAAUUUUCUAUUUAACUUCAUAUUAACUAGAAGACAGUUAAGGGUGAUUGUUAACAACCCGGGAUCUGGGGUCAACUAGGAGCUUCCUCAAGGACUUCUGAGGAAGUGGCCAUGGGAAGUCCAGCCUGCAGAGAUCGACACAGGGCAGUGAGCACCGCUGGGGCUUGGACCCUCCUUUGUCCCCCAAAGGCCGAAGGCUGCGCUGCACAGCUGUGGAGCCUCGGGGAGGCGGGGCUUGGUAGAAGGAGCUAGGUCAUUUCCGUGUUUCCUUGAGGGAGCAUGGAACAACUGCCCCUCCCUCUCUCUGUGCUUCCUGGCAGUUCUGCCCCUCUGCGCCCUCCCUCAAGUGACCUCCUGCUCACCACAGGCCCAGAGAAAGGAGGGUGAACAACCCUCUGAAAGUGUGAUCCAAAAUAAAAAAGGAAUCUUUCCUCCUUGUGAAUUGUUUUAUCUUAGAUAUUUUGUCCCAGUGACAGACUAACACAGGCAUGAAGAAAGAAUCUUUUAAAAGAGCUUUAACAUCGCUGUUUCAUGGAGUUAUUGUGAGGCAGAGAUGAAGUAAUAUGUGUAACAGAUGUAAUGUCUGGCCUGUGGCACAAUAAACACUCAAUAUGUGGUAGCUAUCCUGCCCUUCACACAUUAUUACAUAGACUUUAAAGUGGCAUUUUAAUGUCAAUAUAGAACACAUCACAGAAAUGGUCUAUACUAUUAACUCGAGCCUUUUAAAGAUAAUUUUCAACACUGUAAGCAAUGAAAGAUGAUUUUUCUCAUAUUUUAGAUUGCCUCUAAAGACAAGAGAUGACUUAUUAGAAUUAUUAUGUGGGUGAACAAUUUUAUGGCUCCUGGUACAUUUUUGCCAAUUGUUUUUUUGGUACUGGGGAUUGAACUCAGGUCCAUGUGCUUGUGGGGCAGGCGGAGGAACCACGGAGCUAAAUCCCUGGCCCCUGCCAUAUUGCUUUCCUAAUAUGCUUCAAAUUACAACAUAAUAAUUAAUAUUUGAAAACAGUAGUUAUACUGCGUCACUGCCAC
ensembl:lincRNA